rnacentral:rRNA from 1 species
CUUUACUGUAGCUUUGCAUUGGACUUUGAAUCGGUCUGUGUAGGAUAGGUGGGAGGCUGUGAAACCGGGACGCUAGUUUCGGUGGAGCCAACCUUGAAAUACCACCCUGAUUUAUUUGAGGUUCUAACCUUGAUCCGUGAAUCCGGAUCGGGGACCGUGCAUGGUGGGCAGUUUGACUGGGGCGGUCUCCUCCCAAAAGGUAACGGAGGAGUACGAAGGUACGCUUAGGGCGGUCGGACAUCGCCCAUAAAGUGCAAUGGCAAAAGCGUGCUUGACUGCGAGACCCACAAGUCGAGCAGGUGCGAAAGCAGGUCAUAGUGAUCCGGUGGUUCUGUAUGGAAGGGCCAUCGCUCAACGGAUAAAAGGUA